CUUAAAAUGGCUGCCUAUUUAAAUAUCCCAACCCACUUACCCAUAACUCUAUACUUCCUUCCCUCCUCCUAUGCACGCCUCCUAACCCCUGUCAAGAUCCUUUCCCCCUUAGCUGCGCUUUGGCUACAUGGGGCUGCAUUCUAUUUGUCAUACCAGAAAGCCUUUUGCAUGUGGAUUGCAGUUUGAAGGACACACCACGUAACAGAAUAAAGUCUUGCAG